rnacentral:rRNA from 1 species
AUAGCGUAUAUUAAAGUUGUUGCAGUUAAAAAGCUCGUAGUUGAAAUUGGGCGCGGCUGACCGGUCCGCCUCACGGUGUGAACUGGUCUCGGCCGUGCUUUCCUCUUGGGUCGCUCGAGAGCGCUUGAUUGUGCGCUCGGGAUGGCCCAGGACUUUUACUUUGAAAAAAUUAGAGUGUUCAAAGCAGGCAUUUGCUCGGAUACAUUAGCAUGGAAUAAUAGAAUAGGACGUCGAUCUUAUUUUGUUGGUUUCUAAGACCAUCGUAAUGAUUAAUAGGGAUAGUCGGGGGCAUCAGUAUUCAAUCGUCAGAGGUGAAAUUCUUGGAUCGAUUGAAGACUAACUACUG